rnacentral:rRNA from 1 species
AUACGGAGGGUGCAAGCGUUACUCGGAAUCACUGGGCGUAAAGGACGCGUAGGCGGGUUGUCAAGUCUGAUGUGAAAUCCUAUGGCUCAACCAUAGAACUGCAUUGGAAACUGGCAACCUAGAGUAUGGGAGGGGGAGAUGGAAUUAGUGGUGUAGGGGUAAAAUCCGUAGAUAUCACUAGGAAUACCGAAAGCGAAGGCGAUCUCCUGGAACAUAACUGACGCUAAGGCGUGAAAGCGUGGGGAGCAAACGGGAUUAGAUACCCCGGUAGUCC